rnacentral:rRNA from 1 species
GAUGAACGCUGACGGCGUGCCUAAUACAUGCAAGUCGAGCGAACAGACGAGGAGCUUGCUCCUCUGACGUUAGCGGCGGACGGGUGAGUAACACGUGGAUAACCUACCUAUAAGACUGGGAUAACUUCGGGAAACCGGAGCUAAUACCGGAUAAUAUAUUGAACCGCAUGGUUCAAUAGUGAAAGACGGUUUUGCUGUCACUUAUAGAUGGAUCCGCGCCGCAUUAGCUAGUUGGUAAGGUAACGGCUUACCAAGGCAACGAUGCGUAGCCGACCUGAGAGGGUGAUCGGCCACACUGGAACUGAGACACGGUCCAGACUCCUACGGGAGGCAGCAGUAGGGAAUCUUCCGCAAUGGGCGAAAGCCUGACGGAGCAACGCCGCGUGAGUGAUGAAGGUCUUCGGAUCGUAAAACUCCGUUAUUAGGGAAGAACAAAUGUGUAAGUAACUAUGCACGUCUUGACGGUACCUAAUCAGAAAGCCACGGCUAACUACGUG